CCCUGCGCCAGUUAGCAGUUUGCGGAAUGAGGAAGUUGUGUGGAAAAGUGGACAGAAGGGAACGGCAGUGUGGAGGCCACCUUCUCCAUGGCCAGGUUCCGGAUGCUGGGGGUGAGAGGGCCUCGGCAGGUCGGACAGCAGCUCAGCUUUUGGCGGCACGGGUUGCAGACCAGGUGACCCGCCUGGCACUGCAGGAUGGGCGGCAGGACAUAGUCGAAGCAUACCGGGCACUCGAACAGCGCCGUGAGCUCCGGGGACUGCCCAGGCAGACCGGCCGAGGCUAGGGACACAGCGGUGGAAGGGGUAGCAGACCCCGACCCGACCACGGAGCACACGCCGGCGGCUGCUGCCGCAGCCGCGGCCGCCGCAGCGGCAGCGGCACCUCCCGAUCCACCGUGCUUUCCUCCGCCAGCUUUACCGGCCCCGAGUCCUCCACCUCCGGCUCCAGCUGAGGACGGACGGCUCAUGGCUUCCAGCUGCGGUCCGUUUCCUGUGAACUGCCUAGCGAGCGGUAACGUCAUCUACUGUUUACUACAGGACGUCGCUCCAGGCCCCCGGAGACACAACAUGGCGGCUGCCAAUUUGUAUCGCCUGCCGGCCGCUAUCAUUGGGCGCAGCACGAUGACUGACAGGGCGCUCAGCCAAUCAGAGAGUUGAGUCGUGUCAUUAUGUAAUGUUUGGCAGCAAAGUGAAAGAGAGGUAAAAAAUAAAAUAAAAAAACGACGUUCGGUCAGCAGCACGAGAAGAAGACAGCAACGCUUCAGUAAUUAUGAAUGAAUAUUUAUACUUUUGCAAAUAUUCAGAAUUUUGCACACACAAAAACAACCGUCUCAAAUACCGGUAGUGUUACUGCUUUUGGCACAAUCUACACACCAUGUACUACACAGAAUAUGGAGAGUAUAAAGUAACACUCUGAGGUACUUUUACCUCUCUUUAAUUUUGCAUUUUGUGCUACUUUAUGCUUACACUUCACUUUAUUACAGAGGGAAUUUUUCACUUUUUAUUUCAUCAAGUUUUUUUUUGGUUUAACCAGUUACUAUGUAGAUUCUGAUUUUGUAUACAGAGCUUACAAGCAACUGUUCACAUGACGCAUCCUAAUGGGUGAAAACUAUAACAUGAAAUAGCUGCAUAUACAUAGAUAAUAAUCCAAUAUGUACCUACAGUAGCACACUGACAGGGAACAUCCUGCAUAAUGGUACCCUUACUUACUACGAGAAAAUGUAGUAUAUCUCUGGCGCCCCUCAGUGGAGAUCCCGGUGUAAUUGCACUCUGCUCUCCUCCUCGUAUCCACUUUGUGUCUGUGUACUACCUUCAGUCAUCAACCUCUCUAAGUGUGUGUAACUUUAACUCACGUUUUUCUCAAUUGUCAUUAAUUCUGUCCUCCCUACAACCUGAUCACUCUAAUGCUUCUGGUUCUUCAGUUCCAGGGAGAUAUUAAUGAGUACAUAAAAUAUGAAAGGGCUCCUAAACGAGUUAGGCACACCAUUCAGACAGAAAACACAAAAAACAAAGAAAAUAAACAUGAAAUGUUUUUUUUUCUAUUCAAGUUCCUGACAUAAGUGUUGCACUCACUACAGUAAAAACUGACCUCAUGAGGGAGGAAUGAUUUCAGUCCGAGUCUGAGAACAUUUGGGCUGCAGGCUGCGUUCAUUUCAAGGUCAGCCAGAUUCAAAUACAGUCUGUUAGUCUGUAGUCCUUCCUGAGCUGCAUUACCUUUAUUAGAGAGCUGUAAAUGUUAGGACAGAAUGUGAGUUUGAUAAAGCUAAAUCUGUAUUUCAUAAUCAUUUCAAAAUGUGCUUUUAGUUUGGAACUAUAUUUGUCUGGUAGUUGAGUUUCAAGCUCAAACUGAGGUGGCAGGUUCAGUCCUUCAGGUUCAAAGUUUUAAAAUCUGAAAAACGGCAACAAAAUCAGAGACUAACCAAAGACAUUGUGACAUGACAUGUCGUGAACACUCCAACACAUUUUAGGUCUCUGUGCAGAUGUUUGGUCCAUAGUGGCUGCCGAAAUGAAUCCCACCAAGGAGGAAAACCAGCCAGAUUCAGUGUUUUCAGAUGGUCUUGGUCUGGUUCUGUAGUCCACACCAGAGUCAAACUGGCAGCUUUCACAUCAGCCUAAACGAACUGAACCUAACUGGCACACAGAUGAGGUGUGAGAGCGAGCUUACAUGCAUCUGCUCCCAGUAUCAGUGUGUACUGUUAAAGUUUGGCUCCAGAGCUGGUUUCUGUUGGCUGGUUCAGUCCAGCCUUGGCCCCCAGCCUGCCUGAGAGGCUCUUACUUUUAUUUCCAGGAGGACUUAAAGAAUUGGCUGACAGCAGCGCCCCAGCUCAAUUAACCUUCAGAUGCCUUCAAGUGCACUCAACAAAGGCUGUUAGAAAAGGGGAAAAAGAUGAAUAAAGCCAGCGGGGGAGUCUGAAGAGCUGUGCUGAUGUGUUUAAGCGGAUCACAUCAGUCCAGUUCUCAGAUCUUUGCACUGACUUCCUGUUUGUCAAAAAUAGACUUUUAAAAUACUCCUGUUGGCUUUUGUCUGAUCUGCUGCUCUGGCAUGAUCUGCCCAGAUGGUCUGGGAUCAGGUCUGCUCACUGUCCGCAGAGUCCAAACUAAACCUGCAGAAGCAACGUGAAACAAACUACCAGAAAACUGCACAUCUGCUCCAGCUCUCAGUUAUUUUAAAUUAAUUAAAACCUUUCUGUUUACUGCUGUCUGUAUCUCACUGUACUGUAACUUUUCCUUCUUUUUAUUCAAUUCUAUCUUCUUUUUAUUUGUAUUUAUUAUUUUUUAAUGCUAUUCUUACAUCUCUUUAUAUUAUCUUGUGUUUCUUAAUGCCUUUUUAUUUAUCAUUUACUUUAUUUUUCUAUUAUUGCUGCAUUGUGAACGCUCAACCAUCUGGAAACCAACAAAAACAGCCUUCUUUUUGUUGCCUUUUUUGUCUGUUUUAUUUAAACAAAAAUGGAUCCUUGUGUUAUAUUCAGACUUUAAAGGUGAACCUUAGGUCAAAUUUAUUUUCUUAUUAACACUAUAAUCCUAUUCUGUCAUGUGUUUUUUGUGCUUAUAAUUAAACCUGAAAUCAACGUUUAAAGCAAGCCAGUUUUCCUUUCUGUUUUUUUUCACAAACUUGAAGUUCUGUAGUUUAGAAAAUCGUCAUCUCAUCAUUGAAAUCGUACACUCACAUUUAUAUUUGUAAAAAAAAUGUAUUUAAAUUCCAUUAAAAGAAAAUAAAGAGGCUUGUGUUUUGGUUUUGA